UUACUUAUCGAUUAUCGAUUUGUACAUAUGCUUAUCGUUAUCGUUUCAAUAAGGUUUCGAUUAUUUCGAUUUCGAUUUAUUGAUUUUGGGGUCUUAUCGAUUCGGUUAUCAAUUACACCAAUAAGAAAAUUUGCGGGAUUCCACGGAAAGUAUAUCUCUAUAAACGCGCCUAAAUAUGGACAAAAAGAAGCUAAAUAAGACGAAACCAUUUAUAACAUAAAAAUUGUAUUAACAAGCACAUGCAAGAAAACUAAUGUAAGGAAUCAAAUGUAUGUCACCACUACUCCAACGAUAUAAAAAAAUAAAACAAGACAAAGUACAUCAUCAUGACUAAUUUUAUUUUCCAUUAAUUUGAACUUCAUUCCCUUGAUCUUUAAAUAUGGUUAUUCCUUAAAUGUGGUAGAGGAAAUAAUAGGGUAAGGGACUUAGAGUAAAUGAAAUAGUAUAGAUUAGGGAAAAUGAUAUUGUAUAGCCGCUUUCAAAAUAGUAGCGGAAUAUAUAUACAUUCUGUAUGUUAUAUUAAUCUACACAAAUAGGUAAUNN
rnacentral:lncRNA from 1 species